rnacentral:rRNA from 1 species
UACGGGGGGGGCAAGCGUUGUUCGGAAUUACUGGGCGUAAAGGGCUCGUAGGUGGCCAACUAAGUCAGACGUGAAAUCCCUCAGCUUAACUGGGGAACUGCGUCUGAUACUGGAUGGCUCGAGUUUGGGAGAGGGAUGCGGAAUUCCAGGUGUAGCGGUGAAAUGCGUAGAUAUCUGGAGGAACACCGGUGGCGAAGGCGGCAUCCUGGACCGAGACUGACGCUGAGGCGCGAAAGCGUGGGGAGCAAACAGG